rnacentral:rRNA from 1 species
UACGGGAGGCAGCAGUGGGGAAUAUUGGACAAUGGGGGGAACCCUGAUCCAGCCAUGCCGCGUGUGUGAAGAAGGCUUUAUGGUUGUAAAGCACUUUAAGCGAGGAGGAGGCUCUUCUAGUUAAUACCUAGGAUGAGUGACGUUACUCGCAGAAUAAGCACCG